AUUGAACGAUGGCGGAAUGCUUUACACAUGCAAGUCGAACGGUAGAGGGGGCAACCCCUCGAGAGUGGCGAACGGGUGAGUAAUAUAUCGGAACGUGCCCAGUCGUGGGGGAUAACGUAGCGAGAGUUACGCUAAUACCGCAUACGAUCUAAGGAUGAAAGCGGGGGAUCGCAAGACCUCGCGCGAUUGGAGCGGCCGAUAUCAGAUUAGGUAGUUGGUGGGGUAAAGGCUCACCAAGCCAACGAUCUGUAGCUGGUCUGAGAGGACGACCAGCCACACUGGAACUGAGACACGGUCCAGACUCCUACGGGAGGCAGCAGUGGGGAAUUUUGGACAAUGGACGCAAGUCUGAUCCAGCCAUUCCGCGUGCAGGAUGAAGGCCCUCGGGUUGUAAACUGCUUUUGUACGGAACGAAAAGGUCUCUCUUAAUACGGGGAGCUUAUGACGGUACCGUAAGAAUAAGCACCGGCUAACUACGUGCCAGCCGCCGCCGUAA
rnacentral:rRNA from 1 species